CCUGGUAGUUUGAGCUGGUGGGCCCCACCUGAUCCCAUCUCGAACUCAGUAGUGAAAACGCCAAGCGCCGAUGAUAGUGUGAGGUCUCCUCAUGUGAAAGUAGGUCACUGCCAGGA
rnacentral:rRNA from 1 species